GACGAACGCUGGCGGCGUGCUUAACACAUGCAAGUCGAACGGAAAGGCCUGCUUUCCCUUGUGGAUUGCGGGUACUCGAGUGGCGAACGGGUGAGUAACACGUGAGUGAUCUGCCCCCAACUUGGGUAUAAGCCUGGGAAACUGGGUCUAAUUCCCGAUAGGACUGCAGGGUGGUGCCUGUGGUGGAAAACGAUUUUCUAGUGGUUGGGGAUGAGCUCGCGGCCUAUCAGCUUGUUGGUGGGGUAAUGGCCUACCAAGGCGGCGACGGGUAGCCGGCCUGAGAGGGUGGACGGCCACAUUGGGGCUGAGAUACGGCCCAGACUCCUACGGGAGGCAGCAGUGGGGAAUAUUGCACAAUGGGCGGAAGCCUGAUGCAGCGACGCCGCGUGGGGGAUGACGGCCUUCGGGUUGUAAACUCCUUUCGACCGCGAGGAAGCCACCUGGUUGGAGGGGUGGUGACGGUAGUGGUAGAAGAAGCACCGGCUAACUACGUG
rnacentral:rRNA from 1 species